rnacentral:rRNA from 1 species
AACGAACGCUGGCGGCAGGCUUAACACAUGCAAGUCGAACGCACCGCAAGGUGAGUGGCAGACGGGUGAGUAACACGUGGGAACGUACCCCUUUGUUCGGAAUAACCCUGGGAAACUAGGGCUAAUACCGGAUACGGCCGGAAGGUGAAAGGUUUACCGCAGAGGGAUCGGCCCGCGUCCGAUUAGCUUGUUGGUGAGGUAAUGGCUCACCAAGGCAUCGAUCGGUAGCCGGUCUGAGAGGAUGGCCAGCCACAUUGGGACUGAGACACGGCCAAACUCCUACGGGAGGCAGCAGUGGGGAAUAUUGGACAAUGGGCGCAAGCCUGAUCCAGCCAUGCCGCGUGAGUGAUGACGGCCUUAGGGUUGUAAAGCUCUUUUACCUGGGAAGAUAAUGACGGUACCAGGAGAAUAAGCCCCGGCUAACUUCGUGCCAGCAGCCGCAGUAA